UUGCCUCUUUGCACAGGGGAGACAGACGAUGAGCAUCGCUGGGCGUGGGGUGGGAGGAGAGUGCCACCAGCGCCCCACUCCACCGUCAGUCCGUGGGGCGUGGGGCAGUGUGGGAAGGAGGACUAGGCAGUGGGAAGGCCUUGUGAUUCCUUGAGACAGGCUGGACGCUUUUACGUGAAACUUCCUGAUUUUCAAAUGUUGGCAACUGAUCAGACAGGGUGCAGUGGCCGACGUUGUCUGAACGUUGAGGAAGAGGAAGAAGAAAAAAAGGGUUCGUUGGAAAGCUCUUUGCUGGGCACCUAAUACAUUUUCUGAAUGCUCAUCCUGUGACGGGCCGGAAACAUUUAGCGGGAACUUUUGGGAAUGUCAGCGUCCUGGCAGGUGUAAGAGGCAUAUGGUGGGCCCCUGCAGAGGGGAAAGUGAGGAAGUGAGGAGCAUGGAGACAAGCGGCAAGGAAUAGAUGGUGGCUGGAGGCAGCCGGGAAGAAUAGUAGCUGCAGAUUAUGGAGCAUUAAAACGUGCGGGUGCGUUUCCAAAGCUUUACGCGUAUACCCGCGUAUACUCGCGUUUCAUCUUAAGCCGAUCAGCUCAUCUUGGUUUGCUUAUGACUUUCCCAGUUUUAUCCCUGAAAGCCCCGAGAAGCCCCUCAGUCCCUGACCAGCUCUAUUUCAUCUUCACAAAAACAAAUGGUCUUAGCUGCUGUUAUCCUCCUCCUUUUAUAGACGUGGAAGUGGAGGCACAGAGAAGCUAAGUAACUUGCCCGGCGUCCCACAGGUAAGUGGCAGAGCCGGUACUCAAACCCAAGUCGUUGGAUUCCAGAGUCCUCACCCUUCUGUGUUGCCUUUUACAGGGUCUGGUGAAUUUUAAUUGUUGGUUUAAACCUUUUUCUUCCUUUCUGAAAUGCAUCAUUUUCAGGGGGAGCAGAAAGCAUGCCUGUGCCCUUUUCCUCCUGCCCUGAGACAAUCCUACAGGUGAAAAUUCAGGGAAGAGUCAGGUUGCAAAGCUUGUUGCCUUCUAGGAGACUUCCAGAAACGUGAUGCCCUCCAGGGGAUCUGCCCCACAGCCCCAGCAGCUGAUCAGAAUUCCUCAGGGGAUUUUUUAAGGAGGAGGGAGCGUGGUUAACCAUGGAGAAGAGUUUCCAAAAUGAAAAUAAACCAACAAACAACCCAACGUGUCAACGGAGAUCCAGUGACUGAGGCUUAUUAAGUUUAACACUGGGGAGGGGAGAGCGGGAUCAUUUAUAGAAAUCCUUUCUCCCUCAGGAGAUAUUUAAGAAGAGAACAUAUUUUUAAAAAUUUAAAGCAAAGCCAAGUUUAUGUAAAAUUAUACCAAUGAUGACAGAGGCUUGAGAACAACAGCAAAGCCAGCCAAAGUUGAUGCCCACGACUUUAUACUCCUGGGAAACACGGAAGAAGGAAGCCAAGAGCAGGAAACUGGGCUGAUAGGGAGCACAGCGGGGGCGGGGACGGGCCCGGGCCAGGUCCUGGCUGGUGGCCUCUGGGUGGGAAGGGCUUGGCCAGGGGACCUCACCUUCUGCCUCUAAAAUGGGACACCCAGAGGAGCUGCUUCAGAGGGUCGUAGUGAGGAUGCUGCCAGCUUAUAAGUGUCUCGCGAAACACUUUCUGGCACAUGGCAAGUGCCGGAUAAAUGGUGUCUGUUAUGGUCAGGACCCUGCUGGUCUCCACUUUGGCCCGUGAGCAGGAAGAGCCACAAGCUGGUCCCCAUCAGAGGCUCGCUCUGUGUCAGCCUGGGCUCAGCCCGUUCUAUGCGCAUCCUGUUAUCCAGUCCUCACGUUAACCCGUUAACCCGUGCAGUGUGAUUGUCAUUCCAUUUACAGAUGUGCAGACGGAGGCUUAAGAGGAGAAAAUAGUUUGCCGUAAAGAUUUACACCAGGAGGAAGGAGCAUAGACUGGGAGGAGGACCCAGGCCUAUGCUGACGCUGUUUUCUACUGUACAACUUUGCAGGGAAAACUUACAAAAUAAAAUCAGAUGGAAUUUUUUCUAAUUCCAGGUACCUUUAAGUAUAAAGAAGAGCCAUUUGCUUCUGGAAAGUGCCAGGGGGAAUUUUCAAGAUGGAGCAAGGUGUACGGGCAGCCUUCUUGAUCAGGGAGUGUUUGCUCAUCUCCAGAGGCAAAAACUUGAGGCCGAAGCUGUUUCCUGCCAGCCAAGAGCUUAAGGCAGCCUCGAGGAGCCCGUGCCCUAGGCUGAGUCCUGCUCUCGCCUCGAUUUCAGCACUGGAGUGAGUGUGUCCGAUUAUAACUGGACAUUUGUGCGUGUGGCCUCCUGUUUCCUGUGACUAGUUCAGGAAGGUGCAGUUACGUGUAGGGAGCGAAGCACAGGCUUGCAGGUGGCCGGCUGGGGUUCCAAUCGUAGCCCUGCUCCGACUUUGUGACUUGGGGCGUGGUGCUUAGCCUCUCCGCGCCCAGCUUCCACAUCUUGGCCCUAACAACCGUGUCACAGAGCGACUGUGAAGACAAAAUGAGAAUAAUGUGUGUGGAAGGCCCUGGGGAGCUGUUCGUUUCCUUCUCGGUCCUUCUCCAGCGGAGAGGAAGAGGAUGGGGAUUUGUGGCCGAGGCGUCCAACAGAGGGCGCUGUGCGAGCUGGAAGCGGGAGGCAGGCGCCGGAGCACUAGCGGAAGCUCCGACCCUGCUAAUUCAUUCCUAGAAUUUGGAUUAGAUUGAGGUCAGAGUCAUUUUACUUACCGCGGCACUGUCUGAGCAAUGUUAAGUUGACCUUCAGAGUGAUGUGCAAAGAUGAUGUUUCCGUGCGUUCGGAGGUCAUUUAAGGAUAAGAGCUGGCCACGUACCAAGAUUCCACGGACACUCCUUACACUCCACUCUCUUUCUGAACUCCGCGUCUCCCAAAUAUCAACUUUUGUCUUCCGCUUCUCUGUCUCCCGUGUAACCCAGCUCUGUUAAUGGCAUCAAUUUCCCGGCUCGUGCAGGCCCACGUCUCUGUUUUGAACCCUCUC